ncrna:unclassified sequences L19-Flavobacteria ribosomal protein leader
UAACCUCUGGCGAAAAACGCGUAUGUUG